UGUAACAUGUCACUUUAGGGGCACCGUAAAUUUGCGAUAGAGCAACGAUUUUAAAAAAUAAAGUAUCAAAAAUCCACUCAUUUUAAAAGUAUUUUUUUCACUUAAUUGGAUGCAACUGAAAUAUAUUGUAUAUAUAGGAAAAUCCUUAUCAGAUAUAACCUAGCUAUUAGAAAAUUUUCUACUGACAGGAAUGAGAUAAUUCCAUAAAAUUACAUAUUCGUGACAACAUCAGCAGCCUCACUAGUCAAACAAUUUUUAAAGAACGAGGAUCUAUGUUUUAGCGGACACGCAGAACAAAGUAAGAGAGAAAGAAGGACAACGGAAGGAAUGGCAAUGCUUACAAGAAUAAUAUACAGAACGGCAUUAAGACUUAUAAUGUUUGUUAUUGUUGCUGAUAUAAUGAAAGUAUCCGGUCAGCUGUGCAAAAAAAGUAGUGACCUCUAAAGGAUAUGUUUGUGGAGACACAGGCCCUUUCCUUAAUGGCAUUGGUCGGUGUUCUAGAAAUUCUCGGAUGCAUUUAGUAAAAGGAUGCGGCUUUGUCGGUUCAAGCUGCCGAUGCAGAUCAAGUCUGAUCCUAAAUGUACGCAAAACCGAUGUCAUCAAAUAUCAGAUUGAAUAAAAUGCUCAUGCACAAAGAUAUGUCAGAUGUACACUAUUUAAAAGAAAGAAAUAAACGAAAUAAGAUACAAUGACAAAAUUUUCUGAUACAAUGUGUCAGUAAUCAAUUACGAUUACAAGAACAGGCGUUUGAACAUCAUUCCACUUUUGUUAGUGUGGUGUGUAUGUUCAUUUGGUGAAACAAAAUUACUCUUUCGUUCUUAAAUUAUCCAGCUUUCCUUAUAACAUUUUUCCCUGAUAUUGCGUUCUCUUAUUGUUUUGAUUAAAGUAGUGGCGAUUAUUAUUGGUUAUGAUAAAGAAAAAUACGUUUAAUGAGGCUUGAAGUCAGCUAACUGAAAUUUAAGAACAACAAUAUAUGACUGAAAACUCUGUAAGAUCUUACAAAGAAUGAUCUCAGAAGGAAUUAUCUUAAACGAAGGAAACUUCGAUAUUACCGCAUCAAUACCGUGUAGACGAGGUCCGAAAAAAAGAAAAUUACAUUUUAUCCCGUUAAACGGAUAUGUACAAAGCGGAUAUUAUGACAAAGUUGAAAAUAUACAAAUAAAAUGUGUACAGGUAAAGAAAAGGAAAAGGAAAACAGUGGGAUUUGGAAUGGUCAGUGAAAAUACAUACUUUUAAAAUUGAAACCUAUUAUUAUCAAUAGAACUGCUCUCCUAAUUACCACUGUUAGUUCUUUUUUAUUAGCUCGCAAGGUGAACCCCUGACACAAACGUUUGUAAUAAAAUGCACCGCAAUCAGCAAAUGCAUACUCUUGUAUUUUUAUACUUAAGAUAACCAAAAUGAUCUAUUUUCUAGUAAACUCGAUGAUAUUAUGGAAGAUAUAAAAUUACUAGAGUAGAGAUCGCUUGUGAUGAACGUGAACACAAAAACAAAUACUGAUUUUUGUGUAUGAUAUUUAGGUAACAUCCCGUUAAUUCUAUAUAUGACAACCUACUUAAAUAAAGCAAUUGUCCCUCAAGAUUGUGAGUUUUGAGUCUCACUUGAGACGUUAUAUUCUUCAUGUGAGGAAGCCAUCCAGUUGGCUUACCGAAGGCCAGUGGUAAUAACCAAGUGCACACUCGUGAUGAAAUAAUGCACGGAGGGGCACCUUGUGUCUUCCUCCACCAUCAAAGCUGAGAAGUCGCCAUAUGACCUAUACUUGUGUCGGUGCAACGUUAAAUCCAACCAAACAAAUAACUGAUAGCAAGUGAUUAUGAAUAUGUCAUAGUGUGUACUUUGAAGUCUCUGAUUGGCAGAAGGUGACUAUGUAUAUCUUUGAUACAAUAUCGCUGAUUUGUAGCAAGUGAUUACUCAUGUUUGAUGCAUGUGAAAACCUUAUUGUUAGCUAGUGAUUUAGCUACUGUUGAAUACACAGGUAGCUCGUCCGCCUAGCUCAGUAGGGAGAGAGCAGAUUUACGGAUCGUGGGUCGUGAGUUUGAUUUCCGGGCGGGGAAUAUGUUUUCUGUGACGACUUAUUUAAAGAGAUAUUGUGUCUGAAAUCAUUCGUCUUCCACUUCUAAUUCACGUGGGGAAGUUGGCAAUUACUUGCUAAGAACAGGUUUGUAUUGGUACAGAAUCCAGGAAACUGCUCGCCUUCAGAUAACUGAAAAUUCUAAAGACUUGCCUUAUCAGCGGUGCAGUAGAGACCGAUACUUUUCACUUCAUUAAUACAUCGGAAAUCUUUUGUUAUAGAACAGUCUACAACUUGUCAGCUGAAUAAGAUCCAAAAUAUAUUAUCUAACUUAUCAUUCAUGCUCAGUCUGAAUUCUAAAUAAUAGUUUUGUCAUUAUAAUAAUGCAUGGUGUGAAUACUAAAUAUGCUUUAUAAAUUGAAAUUAGAAACAUGGAAUACAUAAUCUGACUAUAGUGCAUGACCUCAUAUGAUACUGUUAAAACAUGAUAAGAGUCAGUGACUCUGUAGAAAAGGCCAAUAACAAGUCAUAGAUAAAGAUAAUGUUUACGACUCUCAACUUGUCAUGCAAUACAAAACAGUUCGAUGAAAGGGAGAGGUAAAGAGAGAUCCAUAAACUAAAGACCAAUCGUAGAAAGGAAUAUGUUUGUCAGAUUGCCAGACAGAAUAACAUUGAUUGUUGUGGCGUUAACUUUUCUUAACGUUGUUGAUACCGUGUCGGGACAGCUUUGCAAGAAAACUUUAACAAGCAGAGGAAUAGUAUGUCAAGACACGCCGCCUUUCAUUAAUGGAUAUGGUAGAUGCAUUAGAGGUUCAACCGCGGAAUACAAGAAACGAUGCGGAUUCGUUGGUUCAAGCUGUCGAUGCAGAUCGACUCAAAUUCUAAACAAGGCUGAAAGGAACUUAACAUUCAUUGGUGUAGUAAAUGGUUGGUUCGGACGGUAAUAUUACGAACGUUAAUCUAUUUAGAUAGCACAAUUAAUGAAAUUCUUGAAAUACGUUCAUGUUUUGGUGUUGAUUAUAAGUUUAUCGCAAAUAAAAUAUUCAUAUUCAUUUUUAAUGUGUUUAGUGACACCAAAUUAUUUCUAUUCGUCUUAUAAUUCAAUGUUGUUCUUACUACUGUUGCCAAGUGUCACUGUUACUGUCCUGUUGGAUUUAAACAAAAUGUGGUCAUCUUCAGACAAAAGACAAUUCUCAUAGGAAAGCAGAUCGUUAGGAAGAUCUAUAUUUGAGACAUACAACGCAAAUGAGUAUGUUCAUAAGCGGUUAUCAAAAUGCAAUGCCUCUCUCGCCGCCAGUAACCAGCAUAAACAAAAACAUUUUUAUAUAAACUCAUUGACAGGACUUCCAUAUGCAGAAGGACAACCAGUCCAAAAAUGCAUUUUGAGAUGUCCCCUGACUUACCGGAUAUUUUAUGCUUAACAAUGUUUACCAAUAUCACCGAAAUUCGGAAUGUAUGAACUUCAAGAUGCUUCAUGUUGAAAAACGAAUGACUGAUGAAAUAUGUUUACUCUCAUUUUCUACAUUUCGAACUGUCUGACACUGCUUUACUAAAUAAUAUGCGACAGCUGAUCAACAAUUAUGACACAUAAAGUAUCUAAAAUGGAUUAAAAGAUUUUAGAUAUUGUUUCUUAAAGAUUUUAGAAUUUUUUACGUAGUUGGAGCCAUCUAAUAUAUAGGGAAAUUCUUGUCAGAUCUAAUCUAGCUAUUAAAAAAUAGUUGACAGAAAUGAGAUAACUCCAUAAAAUCACUUAUUUGUGAUAACAUCCGCAGCAUCGGUG